rnacentral:rRNA from 1 species
GGGUUGUGAGGUUAAGCGACUAAGCGUACACGGUGGAUGCCUAGGCAGUCAGAGGCGAUGAAGGGCGUGCUAAUCUGCGAAAAGCGUCGGUAAGCUGAUAUGAAGCGUUAUAACCGACGAUACCCGAAUGGGGAAACCCAGUGCAAUACGUUGCACUAUCGUUAGAUGAAUACAUAGUCUAACGAGGCGAACCGGGGGAACUGAAACAUCUAAGUACCCCGAGGAAAAGAAAUCAACCGAGAUUCCCCAGUAGCGGCGAGCGAACGGGGAGGAGCCCAGAGUCUGAAUCAGUUUGUGUGUUAGUGGAAGCGUCUGGAAAGUCGCACGGUACAGGGUGAUAGUCCCGUACACCAAAAUGCACAGGCUGUGAACUCGAUGAGUAGGGCGGGACACGUGACAUCCUGUCUGAAUAUGGGGGACCAUCCUCCAAGGCUAAAUACUCCUGACUGACCGAUAGUGAACCAGUACCGUGAGGGAAAGGCGAAAAGAACCCCGGCGAGGGGAGUGAAAUAGAACCUGAAACCGUGUACGUACAAGCAGUGGGAGCACCUUCGUGGUGUGACUGCGUACCUUUUGUAUAAUGGGUCAGCGACUUAUAUUUUGUAGCAAGGUUAACCGAAUAGGGGAGCCGUAGGGAAACCGAGUCUUAACUGGGCGUCUAGUUGCAAGGUAUAGACCCGAAACCCGGUGAUCUAGCCAUGGGCAGGUUGAAGGUUGGGUAACACUAACUGGAGGACCGAACCGACUAAUGUUGAAAAAUUAGCGGAUGACUUGUGGCUGGGGGUGAAAGGCCAAUCAAACCGGGAGAUAGCUGGUUCUCCCCGAAAGCUAUUUAGGUAGCGCCUCGUGAACUCAUCUUCGGGGGUAGAGCACUGUUUCGGCUAGGGGGCCAUCCCGGCUUACCAAACCGAUGCAAACUCCGAAUACCGAAGAAUGUUAUCACGGGAGACACACGGCGGGUGCUAACGUCCGUCGUGAAGAGGGAAACAACCCAGACCGCCAGCUAAGGUCCCAAAGUCAUGGUUAAGUGGGAAACGAUGUGGGAAGGCACAGACAGCCAGGAUGUUGGCUUAGAAGCAGCCAUCAUUUAAAGAAAGCGUAAUAGCUCACUGGUCGAGUCGGCCUGCGCGGAAGAUGUAACGGGGCUAAACCAUGCACCGAAGCUGCGGCAGCGACGUUUAGGCGUUGUUGGGUAGGGGAGCGUUCUGUAAGCCGUUGAAGGUGACCUGUGAGGGUUGCUGGAGGUAUCAGAAGUGCGAAUGCUGACAUAAGUAACGAUAAUGCGGGUGAAAAACCCGCACGCCGGAAGACCAAGGGUUCCUGUCCAACGUUAAUCGGGGCAGGGUGAGUCGACCCCUAAGGCGAGGCUGAAAAGCGUAGUCGAUGGGAAACAGGUUAAUAUUCCUGUACUUGGUGUUACUGCGAAGGGGGACGGAGAAGGCUAGGCUGGCCGGGCGACGGUUGUCCCGGUUUAAGCGUGUAGGGGGAGUGACCAGGUAAAUCCGGUUGCUUAUCAACCCUGAGGCGUGAUGACGAUGCACUACGGUGCAGAAGCAGUUGAUGCCAUGCUUCCAGGAAAAGCCUCUAAGCAUCAGGUAACAUUAAAUCGUACCCCAAACCGACACAGGUGGUCAGGUAGAGAAUACUCAGGCGCUUGAGAGAACUCGGGUGAAGGAACUAGGCAAAAUGGUGCCGUAACUUCGGGAGAAGGCACGCUGGCGUUAGGUGAAAGGACUAGCUCCUGGAGCUGAAGCCAGUCGCAGAUACCAGCUGGCUGCAACUGUUUAAUAAAAACACAGCACUGUGCAAACACGAAAGUGGACGUAUACGGUGUGACGCCUGCCCGGUGCUGGAAGGUUAAUUGAUGGGGUCAGCCGCAAGGCGAAGCUCUUGAUCGAAGCCCCAGUAAACGGCGGCCGUAACUAUAACGGUCCUAAGGUAGCGAAAUUCCUUGUCGGGUAAGUUCCGACCUGCACGAAUGGCGUAAUGAUGGCCAGGCUGUCUCCACCCGAGACUCAGUGAAAUUGAACUCGCUGUGAAGAUGCAGUGUACCCGCGGCAAGACGGAAAGACCCCGUGAACCUUUACUAUAGCUUGACACUGAACAUUGAGCCUUGAUGUGUAGGAUAGGUGGGAGGCAUUGAAGUGUGGACGCCAGUCUGCAUGGAGCCAACCUUGAAAUACCACCCUUUAAUGUUUGAUGUUCUAACUCGGCCCCAUGAUCUGGGGUGAGGACAGUGUCUGGUGGGUAGUUUGACUGGGGCGGUCUCCUCCCAAAGAGUAACGGAGGAGCACGAAGGUUAGCUAAUCACGGUCGGACAUCGUGAGGUUAGUGCAAAGGCAUAAGCUAGCUUGACUGCGAGAGUGACGGCUCGAGCAGGUACGAAAGUAGGUCUUAGUGAUCCGGUGGUUCUGAAUGGAAGGGCCAUCGCUCAACGGAUAAAAGGUACUCCGGGGAUAACAGGCUGAUACCGCCCAAGAGUUCAUAUCGACGGCGGUGUUUGGCACCUCGAUGUCGGCUCAUCACAUCCUGGGGCUGAAGUAGGUCCCAAGGGUAUGGCUGUUCGCCAUUUAAAGUGGUACGCGAGCUGGGUUUAGAACGUCGUGAGACAGUUCGGUCCCUAUCUGCCGUGGGCGUUGGAAGAUUGAGAGGGGCUGCUCCUAGUACGAGAGGACCGGAGUGGACGAAUCACUGGUGUUCGGGUUGUCAUGCCAAUGGCAUUGCCCGGUAGCUAAAUUCGGAAGAGAUAACCGCUGAAAGCAUCUAAGCGGGAAACUUGCCUCGAGAUGAGUCUUCCCUGGGGCUUAAAGCCCCCUGAAGGAACGUUAAAGACUAUGACGUUGAUAGGCUGGGUGUGUAAGUGCAGCGAUGUAUUGAGCUAACCAGUACUAAUGAUCCGUGAGGCUUAACCUUACAACACCGAAGGUGUUU